rnacentral:rRNA from 1 species
UACAGAGGUCUCAAGCGUUGUUCGGAAUCACUGGGCGUAAAGGGUGCGUAGGUGGCGUGGUAAGUCAGAUGUGAAAGCCCGGAGCUCAACUUCGGAAUUGCAUCCGAUACUACCAUGCUUGAGUACUGGAGAGGUGACUAGAAUUCUAGGUGUAGCAGUGAAAUGCGUAGAUAUCUAGAGGAAUACCAAAGGCGUAGGCAGGUCACUGGACAGUUACUGACACUGAGGCACGAAGGCCAGGGGAGCGAACGGG